GUCAGACAGCAUCUAGGUCAUGAUAGGCUGUCAAGCUGGUUGUUACCUUUACUGCUCAGAAUCAGGAACAAAGUCCCUACUGGAUCCUAGUGAGGUAAAAGGCAUCCCAGGCCACCUCUGGGUUCAUCAUUCAGCCAACUUGUCAAGAAAAUGGUUGGAGCCAUUCCUGGCCCCUCAACAAAAACACUGAGCCAGUGAGCCAGUCUCAGUAGAUCCAGCAUGAGUCAGCUUUGUACUCUUCCCGUCUCGCUCCCUACGUUAGGAUGCGUGGCCAUCUUACCCUCCGGGUUGCUGUUGAUACGAAUCGGUUAUCACAAAACUCUGUUGGUGUGUACGACACCCCAUCACAUAUUUGGGACUUGUGGUCAAGAAGGAAGGAGAAAUGACGAAAACAGAUCUUACAAGGAUUAUCAGGCACUCACCCAACCAAUGAGGACCAUACGAUGAUGUGGUCAGUCACUGGACCGCCACAGUUUCAGCUGGUUGUCGCUCCUUUACUGACCUGUGCUGGGCAGAGCAGUGAAUUGAAGAUAAAGAGGUUGCAUCUGGAGUGUCUCUGAUCAUAGCCCGGGGGCGCAGGAGGAGCCCACCCAAGACUGCCGGGUGUUCUCUGGGCUUUCCUUGUGCCGGGCUUGUAUUGGGGUUGAACCCCAAAAGAAGGGGAUGGUCUGCGAACGGCCACAGACCGCGUCUAAGUUGUGACAGAGCACAAAUGCCGAGCUGCUUACUAAUGACCCGCAGGUGAACAGCGGGAGCGAGAUCACUUCCUGCCGCCAGUGUUUGGGGAAGGGACGGUAUUUCAAAGUCUGCUCUAAGAAGAUAAGACUUUCACACAGGUUUAAGGAGCAGACUUUUCCUUGACAGGAAUUCUGCGAGCAGCUGAGACACAGAGCAGGCCCGCUGCUGCAGGAUUGGGUGACUCCAGGCCUCAGAGCAUCUGUUUAGGGAAA